GACGAACGCUGGCGGCGUGCUUAACACAUGCAAGUCGAGCGGAGCGGCGAACGGGUGAGUAACACGUGAGCAAUCUGCCCUUCACAUCGGAAUAACCAUUGGAAACGAUGGCUAAUACCGAAUAGUGAAGGAUGAGCUCGCGGCCUAUCAGCUUGUUGGUGAGGUAAUAGCUCACCAAGGCGAUGACGGGUAGCCGGCCUGAGAGGGUGACCGGCCACACUGGGACUGAGACACGGCCCAGACUCCUACGGGAGGCAGCAGUGGGGAAUAUUGGACAAUGGGCGAAAGCCUGAUCCAGCAACGCCGCGUGAGGGAUGACGGCCUUCGGGUUGUAAACCUCUUUCAGCGGGGACGCGGUACCCGCAGAAGAAGCACCGGCCAACUACGUGCCAGCAGCCGCGGUAAUACGUAGGGUGCAAGCGUUGUCCGGAAUUAUUGGGCGUAAAGGGCUCGUAGGCGGUUUGUCACGUCGGGAGUGAAAACUCAGGGCUCAACCCUGAGCGUGCUUCCGAUACGGGCAGACUAGAGGUAUGCAGGGGAGAACGGAAUUCCUGGUGUAGCGGUGGAAUGCGCAGAUAUCAGGAGGAACACCGGUGGCGAAGGCGGUUCUCUGGGCAUUACCUGACGCUGAGGAGCGAAAGCAUGGGGAGCGAACAGGAUUAGAUACCCUGGUAGUCCAUGCCGUAAACGUUGGGCGCUAGGUGUGGGGCCGUGCCGCAGCUAACGCAUUAAGCGCCCCGCCUGGGGAGUACGGCCGCAAGGCUAAAACUCAGAGGAAUUGACGGGGGCCCGCACAAGCGGCGGAGCAUGCUGAUUAAUUCGAUGCAACGCGAAGAACCUUACCUGGGUUUGACAUACAGGUGGUGCAUGGCUGUCGUCAGCUCGUGUCGUGAGAUGUUGGGUUAAGUCCCGCAACGAGCGCAACCCUCGUUCUAUGUUGCGACUCAUAGGAGACUGCCGGGGUCAACUCGGAGGAAGGUGGGGAUGACGUCAAGUCAUCAUGCCCCUUAUGUCCAGGGCUUCAAGCAUGCUACAAUGGCCGGUACAAAGGGCUGCGAUACCGCAAGGUGGAGCGAAUCCCAAAAAGCCGGUCUCAGUUCGGAUUGGGGUCUGCAACUCGACCCCAUGAAGUCGGAGUCGCUAGUAAUCGCAGAUCAGCACGCUGCGGUGAAUACGUUCCCGGGCCUUGCACUCACCGCCCGUC
rnacentral:rRNA from 1 species